GACGUGUGCUGCUUUCUCGUC
rnacentral:siRNA from 1 species